GACGAACGCUGGCGGCAUGCCUAACACAUGCAAGUCGAACGGAGAGUAACGCUGAAUUGAUGAUAGCUUGCUAUUGGAUUUUCUUGUUGCUCUUAGUGGCGGACGGGCGAGUAACGCGUGAGUAACCUGCCCUUCAGUGGGGAACAACAGUUGGAAACGACUGCUAAUACCGCAUAAUGUCACGAGGCCGCAUGACCUUGUGACCAAAGGAUUUAUUCGCUGAAGGAUGGACUCGCGUCCGAUUAGCUAGUUGGUGAGGUAACGGCUCACCAAGGCGACGAUCAGUAGCCGGACUGAGAGGUUGACCGGCCACAUUGGGACUGAGACACGGCCCAGACUCCUACGGGAGGCAGCAGUGGGGAAUAUUGGGCAAUGGGCGCAAAGCCUGACCCAGCAAACGCCGCGUGAAGGAAGAAGGCUUUCGGGUUGUAAACUUCUUUAUAAGGGACGAACACAAUGACGG
rnacentral:rRNA from 1 species